UUAAUGACGAAUUAAUUGACAUUUAACAAAAUAGGGAAAGAAAUGGUCUAAUAAAUCAAAUUAUAAUAAUUGUCAGAAAAUUGUCCAUUAAAAGGAAAUCAUAUUUUUCUUGCAGCAAUCAAUAUAUUAUUUUUUAAUUAUUUCUUGUAAUUAUUGUCAUAAUGCUGAUUCAAAUUAUUAUCAAAUAAAACAAAAUUUCAAAAAUAUUCUAAAGUGAUCUGUCAUGCAUUAAUAUUAAUGGCUUAUGGGCAUUUUUCCAAGAAAAUCAAAUCUUUUUCUUUUCAUUUUUUCACGUGCACCCCCCUUUUUUCCUUUUUUCCUUCCUUCUUUUUUCCUUUUGUGUUUUUUUCUUUUUUUCAUUUUUUCAUUUUUUUCUUUUUCCUUUUUUCUUUUAUUUUUCCUUUUUUUUUGUUUGCAAUUAUUUUUC
rnacentral:lncRNA from 1 species